UAUCAUCACCAGGAAGUACAGAGAAGACAUUUUCAACUAUUCAACUAUGAUAUCUGGAUACUGGGUACAUAUACCGUUCAGAGUUGAUAAUGACUAUAGUGGUACAUAAAGCCAGCCAACCAACCAGCCAUGCAGCGAAUGGAGCUUUUCCAGAUUUGACUGCUGUUUACCUACUGAGUUUGAUUUUGGUCCUUCUUCUCAGAUUCAAGUGGAUUUUUACUGUAGCCAUGAUCCAGAGAACACCAGUGCCUUGUAAGAU